CCAGUUUGUAUAUCACGUGAUCCAGUUAGGGGUAGGUGGCGACUCGACUGGCCACUGUGGCCGGCCAGCGAUGGCUAGUUCUAAAAAUAAAGAUAGUAUCUCUACUACAAACCAACUGAAGGGAAGAGCCCUUCACCGCACUGUAUCAGUAGGUGAUUCACUGUAUGUGUGGGCUGGUAAACAGGAUGGUUUACCUCAAGUACAUGAUAGUGAA